GUAUGCCCUUUUGCUACGGUGGAGGGGAACCCCCGACGAGACGCGCCGUACCGGGUAGCUGGCUGAAAAGACGACGCACCCC
rnacentral:ncRNA from 1 species